rnacentral:rRNA from 1 species
ACAGAGACCUCAAGCGUUAUCCGGAAUCAUUGGGCGUAAAGCGUACCGAUAGGUGGUUUUACAAGUCAGAAGUGAAAUCUCUCAGCUUAACUGGGAGACUGUCUUUUGAAACUGUAAAACUAGAGGGGCAAAGAGGAAGCUGGAACAAGCGGUGUAGUAGUGAAAUGCGUUGAUAUCGCUUGGAACACCAAUAGCGUAGGCAGGCUUCUGGGUGCCACCUGACACUGCUAGGACGAAAGCGUGGGGAGCGAAUGGGAUUAGAUACCCCAGUAGUCCACGCUGUAAACGAUGAUGAUUAGGUGCUAGGGAGUAUCGACCCUCCUUAGUACCAUAGCUAACGCGUUAAAUCAUCCGCCUGGGGAGUACGGCCGCAAGGCUA